UAAGCAAAUUAGAUGGUCGCUGUUGGACAGCAACAGAGGAAAGUCCGAGCACCACAGGGCAAGAUGCUGGGUAAUACCCAGUGAGGGUGACCUCAAGGAAAGUGCAACAGAAAAUACACCGCCGAUGGCUCUCAAUCAGCCAAGUUUAAUCUGGUUGAUUGCAAAGGCAGGGACAAUCUUGAUGAUGGCUGUUCGUUUUCGUUUGAUACGAGCGAAAGAAAUUUCUUGUAGAAUGUCAGAACAGCCGGGAAGAGUGGUUGUUUAUUCUCCUUAUUUUUGUUAUUUGAACCAGCGAGAGAAAGACAACGCGUGUUUAUGAUGAUUGUUCCGUUUGUUUGGCUCAAGUAGCUAAGUUAAGUUGGUCGCAUAGUCUAAACUUUAUAGAUUAUGUAUUCUAGUGUGAUUUAUGUGAUUAGCUUGGCUGAUUUGAGAGCUCAGGUAAGGUUGAAAUGGUGAGGUAAGAGCUUACCAGCAGGGGAGCGAUUCUCUGGCUUGGAAAACCCCAUCCGGUGCAAGACCAAAUAGGAGGGAUUUUUGAGGUUUCCUCAAAGACAGUUGCCCAUUGUUUCCCUCGGGUAGGUCGCUUGAGGUAAAUAGUAAUAUUUAUCCUAGAUAGAUGACCAUCAAAAGGGUUUUUUCCCUUUCACGAAACUCGGCUUAUAAUUUGCUUACACU
rnacentral:RNase_P_RNA from 1 species